GGCGCGCUCACUAGAAGGCGGAGGCGCUUGGCGCGCGGACUGGAGAGAGAACUCCGCGCUGGCCCUGCUGGAGGGUGAUCGAGACGCCGCCGCCGCCGCCUCCACGCCGCAGCCCCUCCUCGCCCCCGCAGACAAUUCUAACAGAUUCAGGCUGAAACUGACUCCUCCGGCAGUCUGCAUCUGGAGUCUCCACCGCCCAACCACAGCGGGGCUUUCUCUGCUUCUUCAGCAUUCAGAGCAAGGCUCCCCGUACAACCUGAUACCCUUCACUAACAGAGAUACAAAUGCAUCUAUUCGUCUAUUAUGAAUGAAUGAGAUAUUUUGAAAAGCAUGUUUGCUUCUUUGUUCAAAAUAAAGUCAUACCUACUUUUCACACCA